AAGUGGGUGUGCUUGUACGUUUGUCCGGUUCCCUACAUUUUGUCUUUCAAAGGAUAUUUCAACGAAAACCUUGUGUUUACCUUGCCAUCACCUAAGCAAGUUAGUAACCAGAUGAUUUUGGGCAAGCUAUGUCUGUCACUGGUCAUCAUGGAACUGUCCAGUGAGAGUAUUCACAUUCUGUUUGCCACUGUGUGCUAGGCAUCAUACUUCCAUUUCUAUCAACAUCAUGAUCCUGAACGCACAAGGAUUGCUGACACUAGAUUCCCACUUUCAUCUGUUGAGUGCAUUCAUAUAUGCAUUCUUGUAUGUUUGAUAAUUUCCACGUUUUCAUCAUCAAACAGCCAAACUUUCCAUAACCAAACCUCUACCAAUCCAUCACUUUUACAAAAGCAGUCUUCUCACCGUUGGCCAGCAAAAAACAUACAUAGGCUUUGAGACCAUCUCUACCUUUUAGGACUUCCUUAUCCUGCUAUUCUUGCGCCUUCGCCGCGUCGCCGUCACCAUCGCCUUCGCCUCAUCGCUCUUACCGUCGCUUCAUCGCCUUCGCCUCAUCGCCUUCACACCGUCGCUGUCACCGUCGCCACAUCGCCGUCGCCUCAUCGCCUUCGCCCCAUCGCCUGCGUUCCAUCGCCUUCCCCCCAUCGCCUUCGCUUCAUCGCCUUCGUCUCAUCGCCUUCGCUUCAUCGCCUUCGUCUCAUCGCCUUCGCCCCAUCGCUUCAUCGCCUUCGCUUCAUCGCCUUCGCCCCAUCGCCUUCGCAUCAUCGCCUUCGCCUUCGCGCCAUCGCCGUCACCCUGGUAUUGUUUUGUUUUGCAUUGUAGUGUGUAAGUUAACCCAUUGGCUGCCACCCCGUUUGCGUCCCAUUUUUUUUGUAGAUGUAGGGACUUGGGCGCUGUUCUCCUCAUGGCCAUGGGGGGAACAGUCGCCAUGGCGCCUAAUGGCUUUAUGCCAUUAGACGCCCUUAGGCAAUGCACCAGCAGGGACUUCUCCUUGUCGGCGCAGUGAUAGAUUAUCCAGGGGUGUGCAUUCCCGGAAUGGACUCUAUUACUGUGCCAGCCCGGACUUGUCUUCGGACAAGUCCCACCUUGUUCGCGGAUCCUUCAGACGGCGAUGCGUAGUUACUGUAGUUAAGCAACCUACGGGUUUGCAUGGCCUGGCAGCCAAUGGGUUAACUUAGU